CCUACUUUCUUCCAUCCGUCCAUCUUUCUGUUACAUUAAAGUCACGGUUGGGCCGGAACCAAUCAAAGCUGUCAAAGGACAAGAGAAGGGGAACAGCCCGGACAAUUCACCAGUCUAUCUCAGGACUAACCGAGAGACACACUCCAAAAGCAGACUCAAUUAUUGCCCACAUACUGUGAGGACCCACCUGGCCAUCACGCUUCACAAGCUGAACUACACACAUCUCUGCCUGGAUGCUGGUUCUCUGUCAUCUGGUUGCUUCCUUAUCAUCAUAAGACUCCACCUGCCUGCCUGCCAGGUCCCUUGCUCCAAGUAUAUUCUGGACCCUCUCUGGACACUCCUCACCCGGACCGCCUUGGACACCCCCUCCUCACAUGACACUUUCACCUGCAACGCUGACUGUGUACCUCCACCCAAGCCGCUGCCCCUUUUUCCAUUCCCAGGAUCCGUCUAUGAAAUCUUGCACCUAGUCAUAGCACUCAGAGUUUCAUGUUCAUAGUUUGGCCUCACAGUUCUCAGUUCAUAGCUUCCACAGUUCAUAGCAUUCAUAGUUUCCUGCUUUGUAAUUUAACUAGGUACUAUAAAUAAAGCACUGUGUUCA